UACGUAGGGUGCAAGCGUUUGUCCGGAAUUAUUGGGCGUAAAGAGCUCGUAGGCGGUUCGUCGCGUCGGCUGUGAAAUCCCGAGGCUCAACCUCGGGUCUGCAGUCGAUACGGGCGGACUGGAGUUCGGGCAGGGGAGACUGGAAUUCCUGGUGUAGCGGUGAAAUGCGCAGAUAUCAGGAGGAACACCGGUGGCGAAGGCGGGUCUCUGGGCCGAUACUGACGCUCAUGCACGAAAGCGUGGGGAGCAAACAGG
rnacentral:rRNA from 1 species